rnacentral:rRNA from 1 species
CCUACGGGAGGCUGCAGUAGGGAAUUUUCGUCAAUGGGCGCAAGCCUGAACGAGCGAUGCCGCGUGAGUGAAGAAGGCCUUCGGGUCGUAAAGCUCUGUUGCGGGGGAAAAAAGGCAGCAUCAGGAACUGGGUGCUGACUGAUGGUGCCCCGUCAGAAAGUCACGGCUAACUACGUGCCAGCAGCCGCGGUAAUACGUAGGUGGCGAGCGUUAUCCGGAAUGAUUGGGCGUAAAGGGUGGGCAGGAGGUACUGCACGUCUGGUGGGAAACGCAUGGGCUCAACCCAUGCAUGGAAUUGGAAACUGGAGGACUGGAGAGCAGGAGAGGGCGGUGGAAGUCCAUGUGUAGCGGUAAAAUGCGUAGAGAUAUGGAAGAACACCAGUGGCGAAGGCGGCCGCCUGGCCUGUUGCUGACGCUGAGGCACGAAAGCGUGGGGAGCAAAUAGGAUUAGAUACCCUUGUAGUC